rnacentral:rRNA from 1 species
CUACCCUGUAGCCAGUUACCCUGUAACCUACUACACCUGUAGCGCCUACCCUGUAGCCAGUUACCCUGUAACCUACUACACCUGUAGUGCCUACCCUGUAGCCAGUUACCCUGUAACCUACUACACCUGUAGCGCCUGCCGAUGGACCAUUAAACUCUUGUUAUUUUUAAGUAAUCUGAGCGUCUUAUUUUAAUAAGUCAAAACUUUCAACAACGGAUCUCUUGGUUCUGGCAUCGAUGAAGAACGCAGCGAAAUGCGAUAAGUAAUGUGAAUUGCAGAAUUCAGUGAAUCAUCGAAUCUUUGAACGCACAUUGCGCCCAUUAGUAUUCUAGUGGGCAUGCCUGUUCGAGCGUCAUUUCAACCCUUAAGCCUAGCUUAGUAUUGGGAAUCGACUGUAUUGUCGUUCCUCAAAUUCAACGGCGGAUUUAUAGCAAUCUCUGAACGUAGUAAUCUUUAUCUCGUUUUUGAAAUACUGUAAACCUCAGCCGCUAAACCCCCUAAUUUUAAUGGUUGACCUCGGAUCAGGUAGGAAUACCCGCUGAACUUAAGCAUAUCAAUAA